CUUAUGAAUUUUGAGGAGACACAUUCAGUUCAUAGCAGGAAAGGCAAAGCUGGGGCAAGGCCUGAGAAGAAAAAGAAGUUUUAUGCAAGCUGCUGAAAGCGUUAUUCUCAAGGCCCUUUCCCUGGGUUAUAUCUCAAUGUCAUUUAAGGGACAGAAGAAAAAUACCACUCGUAGGAUUCUAGUCAAUGAAGAUAUGACAGAGAGCAAGACAUUCAAAGUUGCUGCAAUCAUAGAUGUUAUAUUCUGACCAAGGGAACCAGAAUGUAAGACAUGGAAUAAAUAGAUAAGCUUUCAUGGCCAUAUCUUUAAUGGGCAUUGGAGAAUUUGCCUUCCUGGAGUGAUGCAGAGCUUUGGAGACCACUUCAAUAUAUGACAAGUCUGUAGUACAAAGCAAAAGAAAAAGUGUUUGGCUCACUGUUCCUUUAUUCAAGAGCUGAAAAUCUUCGGUAAAGCACAAAGUUUAAUUAUAGAAAAAGUAGGGUCUAAAUGAAUAAUAUAAUACAGAACAGAAGCAGGUGCAUGUGAAAAUAAAAUGCAAUUUCAUAACCGAAUGAAAAUCAUAUACUUCAGCCUCAAGAUGACAACCCUAUUUUGCAGCCAUAAUUGUUAAUCUUGUAAGAGCAGAGGCAGUCUCUAUUCAGCAUGCUUCUUUAUCUCUUCUUCCUGACUGAAACAAGAAGGUGCUUGUCAAAAACUUUGCAGAAUAUAGCUUUCUGGAUAUUUUUAUUAUAUUUCUCAAGAAGAAUGAGUCACAUGCUACCACCUUUGAAAAGACACCUUUGAAUACUGUGACAUUAAGAGGCUGAAAUUGCCAGGUGUCAAUCAUUUACAAUUUAAGAGAAAUAUUAUUAUAUGCCAUGGUGGAAACAAGCAUUUUAGAAUUCUUAAAUGAGAGCCUAGACGUGUGAAGAAGACCUGAAGUAAAACUGAAUCAACAGCUGUGAUAAGAUGUCAGGAACUACGAAGAUUGACUCCAGUAAAGAAACUCCAUGUGAAACAGCCACUCAUUAAGUACAUUUAUGAUAAUCUAUUGUCAUUCUCUGAGACAAGUCCUCCUUCUCCAUUAGUUGAUCUGGGUUCAUGAAUGCAUAUA